UCACCCCUAUAACGUAGUACUGCAGUUGGGCUUAAUAAAAGAAUUGGGGGCUGGCUUUUUCAACAGGUUAGAAAUAGAGGCGGUGAAGAUAGAAAACAGGGGAAACUAGGGUUCGGGGAAAUUGGGGAAAUCCAUAGUCGAGAUUCCAAGGUUGGGGCUGGUGAGUUAUUGAUCGGAGGUGGGGUUCUGUGGUUUUGAGCGGAAUAUGGCGGCGGCGUUGGUUGUCGCGGGGAGUUAAUGGGGUUGUGGCGGCCAUAGAAGCGCGGCGGGGGGAGGAGGUAGAUGAGGGAGGUGACGAAGUGGAGGGAUAAGGGAGGAGGAGACUGUGUAGGGGGCUGCUGGAGGUGGCGCUCGGCACGCCGCGGCGUCGCCGCGCCUGGCCAGUGAAAGCCAGCGGCAACAGCCGCGAGAAAUGGAAAAGGAUAGGGGCAGCUGUCCAGAGAGAGAGAGAGAGAUUGGGGAAGAAGGCUGCCGGAUUCCGGCAAGCCUGGCGGCAGAGGCGACCCACUGCCGGUCACGAGGAGGUUCCGAGGGGCUGUUUUGGACGGAGGUUUCGGAGAAAAACAAAAUACAAUAUUAAUUUUAUUUUAUUAUUACUAUUAUUAUUAUUGUUUUAAUUAACGAUAAUAAUAAUGAUAAUAAUACUAAUGAAAUUAAUAUCUACUUUUGAAUGUUUAUAUUAUAGUGCAAGUUUGGGAUGUGAAUACUAUAUUCAUAGUGCAUGUACAGAGUGAAUUCUGGAUUUGAUUAUUCAUAAUCUAGUCGAGAUAUUUUGAUUGUUAAUAUUUAAUCUUAGGAAA